rnacentral:rRNA from 1 species
CCUACGGGAGGCUGCAGUGGGGAAUAUUGCACAAUGGGCGCAAGCCUGAUGCAGCCAUGCCGCGUGUGUGAAGAAGGCCUUCGGGUUGUAAAGCACUUUCAGCGGGGAGGAAGGCGUUAAGGUUAAUAACCUUGUCGAUUGACGUUACCCGCGGAAGAAGCACCGGCUAACUCCGUGCCAGCAGCCGCGGUAAUACGGAGGGUGCAAGCGUUAAUCGGAAUUACUGGGCGUAAAGCGCACGCAGGCGGUCUGUCAAGUCGGAUGUGAAAUCCCCGGGCUCAACCUGGGAACUGCAUUCGAAACUGGCAGGCUAGAGUCUUGUAGAGGGGGGUAGAAUUCCAGGUGUAGCGGUGAAAUGCGUAGAGAUCUGGAGGAAUACCGGCGGCGAAGGCGGCCCCCUGGACAAAGACUGACGCUCAGGUGCGAAAGCGUGGGGAGCAAACAGGAUUAGAUACCCGAGUAGUC